AGAAUCAACGCUGGCGGCGUGCCUAACACAUGCAAGUCGAACGAGAAAGUGGAGCAAUCCAUGAGUACAGUGGCGACCGGGUGAGUAACACGUGACCAAUCUACCUUCGAGUGGGGGAUAAACUCCGGGAAACCGGGGCUAAUACCGCAUAACAUCUUUGGAAUGCAAAUUCCGUUGAUCAAAGGAGCAAUUCGCUUGAAGAGGAGGUCGCGGCUGAUUAGCUAGUUGGCGGGGUAAUGGCCCACCAAGGCGAAGAUCGGUAUCCGGCCUGAGAGGGCGCACGGACACACUGGAACUGAAACACGGUCCAGACUCCUACGGGAGGCAGCAGUGGGGAAUUUUGCGCAAUGGGGGAAACCCUGACGCAGCAACGCCGCGUGGAGGAUGAAGUCCCUUGGGACGUAAACUCCUUUCGACCAAGACGAUAAUGACGGUACUGGUGGAAGAAGCACCGGCUAACUCUGCGCCAGCAGCCGCGGUAA
rnacentral:rRNA from 1 species